UACAGAGGGUGCGAGCGUUGUUCGGAAUUACUGGGCGUAAAGCGCGCGUAGGCGGCUUUGUAAGUUAGAGGUGAAAGCCCGGAGCUCAACUCCGGAACUGCCUUUAAAACUGCAUCGCUUGAAUCCAGGAGAGGUGAGUGGAAUUCCGAGUGUAGAGGUGAAAUUCGUAGAUAUUCGGAAGAACACCAGUGGCGAAGGCGGCUCACUGGACUGGUAUUGACGCUGAGGUGCGAAAGCUAGGGGAGCAAACGGG
rnacentral:rRNA from 1 species